AACAACUUGCUAUGAACAGCAGACAGAGCUGCCUGCAUUUCCCAGAGCAUCCAAACAAGUACAUGUGGAAUUUGAUCAUGCAAAGUGCUUUUGAGUUGUUCUCCUACGCUUUGAGGGGAUGACAUGUCAUUCUGGCCUCCUCUGCUACAUAAACUAGAUACCAGUCAUAUCAGAUAAGGACUACCCUACUCACCUCAUCUUAACUUGACUACAUCUCCUAAGGCCCUAUUUC